CCGGAGCUUGCUUCCAGCAACGUGAUAGUGAAGACCUUCUUAGGCAGGCCGUGGAAGAACUACUCGACGACGGUGUACAUGGAGUCGUACAUCGGCGGCCUGGUGGAUCCGGCGGGGUGGAAGGAGUGGUCCGGCGACCAAGGACUCGACACGUUGUAUUAUGGGGAGUACAUGAACAGCGGGCCGGGAUCGCCGACCGACAAUCGGGUCACCUGGCCGGGGUUCCUUGUUAUGGAUU
rnacentral:lncRNA from 1 species